UACGUAGGUGGCAAGCGUUGUCCGGAAUUAUUGGGCGUAAAGCGCGCGCAGGCGGUCCUUUAAGUCUGAUGUGAAAGCCCACGGCUCAACCGUGGAGGGUCAUUGGAAACUGGGGGACUUGAGUACAGAAGAGGAAAGCGGAAUUCCACGUGUAGCGGUGAAAUGCGUAGAGAUGUGGAGGAACACCAGUGGCGAAGGCGGCUUUCUGGUCCAUUACUGACGCUGAGGUGCGGAAGCGUGGGGAGCAAACAGG
rnacentral:rRNA from 1 species